CCUGGCUCAGGAUGAACGCUAGCUCCAGGCUUAACACAUGCAAGUCGAGGGGCAGCAUCAUCAAAGCUUGCUUUGAUGGAUGGCGACCGGCGCACGGGUGAGUAACACGUAUCCAACCUGCCGACAACACUGGGAUAGCCUUUCGAAAGAAAGAUUAAUACCGGAUGGCAUAGUUUUCCCGCAUGGGAUAAUUAUUAAAGAAUUUCGGUUGUCGAUGGGGAUGCGUUCCAUUAGGCAGUUGGCGGGGUAACGGCCCACCAAACCAACGAUGGAUAGGGGUUCUGAGAGGAAGGUCCCCCACAUUGGAACUGAGACACGGUCCAAACUCCUACGGGAGGCAGCAGUGAGGAAUAUUGGUCAAUGGACGAGAGUCUGAACCAGCCAAGUAGCGUGAAGGAUGACUGCCCUAUGGGUUGUAAACUUCUUUUAUACGGGAAUAAAGUUAGCCACGUGUGGCUUUUUGUAUGUACCGUAUGAAUAAGGAUCGGCUAACUCCGUGCCAGCAGCCGCGGUAAUACGGAGGAUCCGAGCGUUAUCCGGAUUUAUUGGGUUUAAAGGGAGCGUAGGCGGGUUGUUAAGUCAGUUGUGAAAGUUUGCGGCUCGACCGUAAAAUUGCAGUUGAUACUGGCGACCUUGAGUGCAACAGAGGUAGGCGGAAUUCGUGGUGUAGCGGUGAAAUGCUUAGAUAUCACGAAGAACUCCGAUUGCGAAGGCAGCUUACUGGAUUGUAACUGACGCUGAUGCUCGAAAGUGUGGGUAUCAAACAGGAUUAGAUACCCUGGUAGUCCACACAGUAAACGAUGAAUACUCGCUGUUGGCGAUAUACAGUCAGCGGCCAAGCGAAAGCAUUAAGUAUUCCACCUGGGGAGUACGCCGGCAACGGUGAAACUCAAAGGAAUUGACGGGGGCCCGCACAAGCGGAGGAACAUGUGGUUUAAUUCGAUGAUACGCGAGGAACCUUACCCGGGCUUGAAUUGCAGGUGGAUGGGCCAGAGACGGCCCUUUCCUUCGGGACUCCUGUGAAGGUGCUGCAUGGUUGUCGUCAGCUCGUGCCGUGAGGUGUCGGCUUAAGUGCCAUAACGAGCGCAACCCUUCUCCCCAGUUGCCAUCGGGUAAUGCCGGGCCCUCUGGGGACACUGCCAUCGUAAGAUGCGAGGAAGGUGGGGAUGACGUCAAAUCAGCACGGCCCUUACGUCCGGGGCUACGCACGUGUUACAAUGGGGGGUACAGAGGGCCGCUGUCCGGUGACGGCCGGCCAAUCCCUAAAACCCCUCUCAGUUCGGACUGGAGUCUGCAACCCGACUCCACGAAGCUGGAUUCGCUAGUAAUCGCGCAUCAGCCAUGGCGCGGUGAAUACGUUCCCGGGCCUUGCACUCACCGCCCGUCA
rnacentral:rRNA from 1 species